GCCAACGAGCGCAACCCUCCGUGUUUAGUUGCUAACAGUUCGGCUGAGAACUCUAAACAGACUGCCUACGCAAGUAGGAGGAAGGUGAGGACGACGUCAAGUCAUCAUGGCCCUUACGGCCAGGGCUACACACGUGCUACAAUGGGGUAUACAAAGAGCAGCGAUACGGUGACGUGGAGCAAAUCUAGAAAAUGCCUCUCAGUUCGGAUUGUAGUCUGCAACUCGACUACAUGAAGUUGGAAUCGCUAGUAAUCGUAGAUCAGCAAUGCUACGGUGAAUACGUUCCCGGGUCUU
rnacentral:rRNA from 1 species